UACAGAGGGUGCAAGCGUUAAUCGGAAUUACUGGGCGUAAAGCGCACGCAGGCGGUUGGUUAAGUCAGAUGUGAAAGCCCCGGGCUCAACCUGGGAAUUGCAUUUGAAACUGGCUAACUAGAGUAUGUGAGAGGGGGGUAGAAUUCCAAGUGUAGCGGUGAAAUGCGUAGAGAUUUGGAGGAAUACCGAUGGCGAAGGCAGCCCCCUGGGAUAACACUGACGCUCAUGCACGAAAGCGUGGGGAGCAAACAGG
rnacentral:rRNA from 1 species